UGUAUUCUGUUUUUUUCCCCAAAGCAGACAACAGACAGACUAAAAGAUGUGUCAAACAACAGAUGGAAAAAUCAUAUGGCCUUGCUAGACACUUUUUAGUAUUCAGAGUAGCAUUUGGAAAAAAAAAUGGUUGUAUUUUUCUGGCAUUUUCUGUCCUGCCAGGCCUUUCAAUUGUAGUUAAUACCUAAAUUGCUAAAGGUAUUUCUGAUGGAAGAAUAAAGACACUGUAGUGAAUGACAUCUCUUUCUCAGAGAUGUCCUAGCCCUGUCUCUUCUGAGGCUAUGGCCAAUAAUACAAUGUUCUCCUGAUGAAGAGCACUUCAGUCUCUAAACACGUCAAUGGAGUGAAAUAGGUGAUGAUUUAUUCUCCUACACAACAUGAAGGGGAGAUGUAACUCUUUGUCAAGGUCUUGGACCAAGGUCUUGUUCCUUUGUUGAGUGCUGCAAAGACAUAUUUGAGUGAUGUAUCACAAUUCUUUAAAGCAUAUGAGCCAAGAGGAAAAAUGGUUGACUCAAUAUAUCCAUCACUCUCUUUGCUCUUUCAAGAUGUUAUCAUGCGUGUAUAGAUGUCUGAUCCACGGUAGAACCACCACUCUCAGUGUAGUAGACAUUCUGUCAGUGAAAGUCAAAAGUGUCUGAAAUGCACUGGCUCUGGGUUCUGCUUUUCAUCGUGAUGAUGCUAAUUAGGAAAGGACACUUGUCUUCACUCUUUCAAAAGUUUGUCUAGGCGAAUUGCCAGCUCUGUGAGAGAGUCCAGUGUCGAGUGGCUAUCAUACCACGCCCACUCUGUGAGGACGUCUUAUCAAAACCAUUGGCAAAAACCGACAAAGAGAUUUGGCUCGUUUCAACGGCUGCCUGCUGCAAGUGUUUUGAAUUCAAGCUCGUAUUUGGCUGUAUUUCUGGUCCCUUGUUUUUGGGUAAGAAGACGCACUUCUGUUUCCUUGAUCAAAUAAUAUUUAAAAAGAGGCAGACAGAAUAAUUAUAGGACGAGAUAAUCAAAUGAGUAAUCAUUUCAGUGGUGAGGUUGAUGAGGGAUCUAGCUGCUGGAUAUGGCUUGAUCAGUUGUUGUUUAACAACACUUCCAUGAAUACACAACAUCUGAUAAAGUUCUUCAAAAUCUACUGCAUUGAUCAUAUGAGAAGUCUUCAAUCAGACAUAGACCGUGUUAGAUACAUAACCAAGGUUUUCUUUUUUUAAAUAGUUCCAAGACAAAUCCAAACUGAUAACCAGAACAAAGCAGAAUAAAAAAUGCACAGAUAAAAAAGCCCACUCAUAAGACUGCCACUAAUAAAAUAGAGGACUGAGACUUCACAAAGUAUUAACAUGUUCUGGGUUAGAUAAAGUUUGAAGGUCAAUCUAAACAAGUGAGUUUUGAUCAUGUGAUCAAUGUGAUCAGUAUACUGUAACUGACUAAGCUGCUGUAACACAAGAAUUUUCUUCAUAGGAUCAAUAAAGUAUAUCUAUCUAUCUAUCUAUCUAUCUAUCUAUCUAUCUAUCUAUCUAUCUAUCUAUCUAUCUAUCUAUCUAUCUAUCUAUCUAUCUAUCUAUCUAUCUAUCUAUCCAUCCAUCCAUCCAUCCAUCCAUCCAUCCAUCCAUCUAUAAAUCAUGUGACAUGGCUGAUAGGUCACUGUUGCACUUAGGAUCAUGAGUCUUUCCAUGAAUGGCACCAGAGAUCUGACACUGUGCUUCAAGUUCUUUUCGAUUCCCGUGUAGGUUUACCCUGCCAUCAUCAUGGAUUUCAUUAUUUUCCUUGUAUGCUCUGCUGAAAUUCAACACUUCAAAUUUCAAACUAAAAAUAAAUAACAUCUUACCUGCUUUAGCUUUUUUAAGUCCUCAUCAAGCUCAAGAUUGUCCAGAAUUACAGCUACAAACAGACUGAGCAGGAUCUGGAAAAUAUCAGACAAGAGCUUCUGAAUAAUGAAUUAUUACCAGCGUAGCAAACAGGUGGUAGAGAAUGAAGUAAAUGGCCACCACUGGAGCCCACACUCGUCCCACUGCCACCAGGGUUUGAUCCAUGACGUCCACCCAACCUUCCUGAGUGAGGAUCUGAAACAUGGACAUGAAGGCCUGCAGGAGAGGAACAUAGCAGCCAUCGGGGGUGAGAUUUUACCCGUGGAAAGGUGGUGAAGCGGUCCAAGUCCUCCACGAAGCAGAACAUCUGUAGACUGAUGGCAGACAUGACUAUGAGUAGACUCGCUGUGAACACCACCAGACUGCCCAGCUUCUUCCCUGGAC